GAUGAACGCUGGCGGCGUGCCUAAUACAUGCAAGUCGAGCGAACAGACGAGGAACUUGCUCCUCUGACGUUAGCGGCGGACGGGUGAGUAACACGUGGAUAACCUACCUAUAAGACUGGGAUAACUUCGGGAAACCGGAGCUAAUACCGGAUAAUAUAUUGAACCGCAUGGUUCAAUAGUGAAAGACGGUUUUGCUGUCACUUAUAGAUGGAUCCGCGCCGCAUUAGCUAGUUGGUAAGGUAACGGCUUACCAAGGCAACGAUGCGUAGCCGACCUGAGAGGGUGAUCGGCCACACUGGAACUGAGACACGGUCCAGACUCCUACGGGAGGCAGCAGUAGGGAAUCUUCCGCAAUGGGCGAAAGCCUGACGGAGCAACGCCGCGUGAGUGAUAAAGGUCUUCGGAUCGUAAAACUCUGUUAUUAGGGAAGAAUAAAUGUGUAAGUAACUAUGCACGUCUUGACGGUACCUAAUCAGAAAGCCACGGCUAACUACGUG
rnacentral:rRNA from 1 species